rnacentral:rRNA from 1 species
AAACCCCUACGGGGCGCAGCAGUGGGGAAUAUUGGACAAUGGGGGGAACCCUGAUCCAGCGACGCCGCGUGAGUGAAGAAGUAUUUCGGUAUGUAAAGCUCUACCAGCAGGGAAGAAAGAAAUGACGGUACCUGACUAAGAAGCCCCGGCUAACUACGUGCCAGCAGCCGCGGUAAUACGUAGGGGGCAAGCGUUAUCCGGAUUUACUGGGUGUAAAGGGAGCGUAGACGGCAAUGCAAGUCUGGAGUGAAAGGCGGGGGCCCAACCCCCGGCCUGCUCUGGAAACUGUAUAGCUGGAGUGCAGG